rnacentral:rRNA from 1 species
UACAGAGGUCCCGAGCGUUGUUCGGAUUCACUGGGCGUAAAGGGUGCGUAGGCGGCGCGGUAAGUCGGGUGUGAAAUCUCGGAGCUUAACUCCGAAACUGCAUUCGAUACUGCCGUGCUUGAGGACUGGAGAGGAGACUGGAAUUUACGGUGUAGCGGUGAAAUGCGUAGAUAUCGUAAGGAAGACCAGUGGCGAAGGCGGGUCUCUGGACAGUUCCUGACGCUGAGGCACGAAGGUCAGGGGAGCAAACGGG